GUUAAAGUGGCAGAUUUAUGCGGUAGCUUUAAAACCUACAGAGGGCCUUGCCCUUUAACA
rnacentral:tRNA from 2 species